GGGUUGUGAGGUUAAGCGACUAAGCGUACACGGUGGAUGCCCUGGCAGUCAGAGGCGAUGAAGGACGUGCUAAUCUGCGAUAAGCGUCGGUAAGGUGUAUAUGAACCUGUUAUACCCGGCGAUUUCCGAAAUGGGGAAACCCAGU
rnacentral:rRNA from 1 species